rnacentral:rRNA from 1 species
UACGAAGGGGGCUAGCGUUGCUCGGAAUCACUGGGCGUAAAGGGCGCGUAGGCGGCCGAUUAAGUCGGGGGUGAAAGCUUGUGGCUCAACCACAGAAUUGCCUUCGAUACUGGUUGGCUUGAGACCGGAAGAGGACAGCGGAACUGCGAGUGUAGAGGUGAAAUUCGUAGAUAUUCGCAAGAACACCAGUGGCGAAGGCGGCUGUCUGGUCCGGUUCUGACGCUGAGGCGCGAAAGCGUGGGGAGCAAACAGG